rnacentral:lncRNA from 10 species
GCAUUGCUGUGUGUCUGCCACCGCUGCCUGGCACUCAUGGGGCCGUGUGUGUGUGUAUGUGUGUGUGCGCGCAUGUACAUGUACGCAUAAGCGUGUGCUGUAUGUGAGCCUCCUGGGCAUGGGUGGGGGUUGGCAUUGCGGUUGCCAAUCUAGUGUACAACCAGAAGGACAGAGGGAUGGAGUGGAAGAAGGAGGGGAGAGGCUUGGGGUCUGGGAGGGGAGAAGAGGGUGCAUGAGUUGCUUCAUGCUGCCUGCUUACAGGCAUUGGCAUUGUAGCUGCCACCCUUGUGCCCACGGAGAUGGGAGGAGGCGAGUGGAGGGCGCAGCGGCAGGAGUCCUGUGCUCUGGGAGGAAGGCUUUGUACAUGGGAGCUGUUGGCAUCACAUCUGUCAGGCCGGUGCCCAGAACUGGGGCAAUGGAGACUGGGGGAUCCAGGAAGCAGGGAGGAGGGGCAGAAUGUGUUUCUGAUGUUGCUGUCCCUCUAGAAGCUCAGCUCUGAAAAAUGGUUGGAGUAUGAGGUGAUUAGUGCUCUUCCAGCUUGAGGAAGUAAAGUGGUGGAGAGAGUAGCCAGGGAAGUGCCAAGAAACAGUCUACGAGCCAGGGAGGAGGGAGUGUGCCACCGUACCCAGGGAGAACUUGUUGGGGCUGGCAAUCUGGCCCUUUGUCAGAGUAUUGAAGGAGACAGCAAGAGGACCAGAUGUGAGGCAUGGGGAGUGGAGCAACAGACGGAGAGUGGCAUGAAGACACAAAGGAGGAAGCACACCAUUGCCAAGACCCCAAGGAAGAAGGAUGGAAAGCGCUGGCAGUCCUGCCUGGCCCCCAGCCAGUUCCCUGCUGAAGAUGGCCAGAUCCCCUUGUCUGGUCUGUAUAUGCCACUUUUGCUGGGGUGGAAGGAGGGAAGGGCUGGCUUGCUGAGCUGGGCUCUAGAAUGGGAAGGGUACCUUUCUGCAGAUCCCAUUUGGACUCUCCACUUGAACAAGUGAGGUGUCUGAUUUUCUUCUUCGGUACCUUCCUCUCCUCCC